UUUGGCCUUCUCCUCCACUUAAUCGGAGUUCGACCCAGAAGCCUGGAUUCAUUAAUUGGUAUCUUAUUCUAAGAAUUGAUGAGGAUUCAGGGAGUGAUAUGAUCCCAAAGCGAUAUCGCUAGUUGGCAUUGCAGCUUCAUCCAGAUAAGAACAGGCAUCCAAAAGCCGAAGUGGCAUUCAAGCUUAUUUCAGAGGUGGAUAUUUUAAUUUUCUUUUCUUAAAUGUUUUUUUUUUUGUGCAACAUUAGAGUUCUGUUGUGAGAAUUAUGUAUUUGUGUAUAGUUCAUUUUCACGAGGAUGAGGACAGCUUUUCACUCAAUUUUAAUUUCUUAUUUGUGUAUAGAAUUAUGUAUUUGUGUAUAGUUCAUUUUCACGAGGAUGAGGACAGCUUUUCACUCAAUUUUAAUUUCUUAUUUGUGUA